CAGGGUCUUGACAACUGCACAAUAAGAAACUGUUCUGAGCCAUUGAAAGUAGAGAGCCAGCGGGCACCAGCUGGGCCAGAGUGGGGUAGUGCACUGAUGGGGGUCGUCCUGGACAGAGAGCAAUUUAUACCCAUUUUAAAUGUGUCAUGGAGGAUAGCAGCCACUGGUACUAUAUUGGUUCUUAAAGGAUCACAAAUACUUGUUCGUGACGAAAAAAGUAAUGUGGCCAUGUGUUGGGAGUAUUUCUACAAC